CCUACGGGCGGCAGCAGUGGGGAAUAUUGCGCAAUGGGCGAAAGCCUGACGCAGCGACGCCGCGUGAGGGAUGAAGGUCCUCGGAUCGUAAACCUCUGUUUGUAGGGAAGAACGGUCACUGUGCUAAUCAGCCGUGAAUUGACGGUACCUGCAAAGGAAGCACCGGCUAACUCCGUGCCAGCAGCCGCGGUAAUACGGAGGGUGCGAGCGUUAAUCGGAAUUACUGGGCGUAAAGCGCUCGUAGGCGGUAUGUCAAGUCAAGGGUGAAAUCCCCGCGCUCAACGUGGGAACUGCCUUUGAAACGGGCAAACUGGAGUGUGUGAGAGGAAAGUGGAAUGCCAGGUGUAGGAGUGAAAUCCGUAGAUAUCUGGAGGAACAUCAGUGGCGAAGGCGACUAUCUGGCACAUAACUGACGCUGAGGAGCGAAAGCGUGGGUAGCAAACAGGAUUAGAUACCCGGGUAGUC
rnacentral:rRNA from 1 species